AUUGAACGCUGGCGGCAUGCCUUACACAUGCAAGUCGAACGGCAGCACGGGAGCAAUCCUGGUGGCGAGUGGCGAACGGGUGAGUAAUAUAUCGGAACGUGCCCAGUCGUGGGGGAUAACGUAGCGAAAGCUACGCUAAUACCGCAUACGAUCUAUGGAUGAAAGCGGGGAUCGCAAGACCUCGCGCGAUUGGAGCGGCCGAUAUCAGAUUAGGUAGUUGGUGGGGUAAAAGCCUACCAAGCCUUCGAUCUGUAGCUGGUCUGAGAGGACGACCAGCCACACUGGAACUGAGACACGGUCCAGACUCCUACGGGAGGCAGCAGUGGGGAAUUUUGGACAAUGGGCGCAAGCCUGAUCCAGCAAUGCCGCGUGCAGGAUGAAGGCCUUCGGGUUGUAAACUGCUUUGUUACGGAACGAAACGG
rnacentral:rRNA from 1 species